rnacentral:tRNA from 1 species
GCUGAAAUAGCUCAGUUGGGAGAGCGUUAGACUGAAAAUCCAAAGGUCCCUGGUGCAGGUCCAAGUUUUGGCA